GACGAACGCUGGCGGCGCGCCUAACACAUGCAAGUCGAACGGAGCUGAGAGAAGCUUGCUUUUCUUAGCUUAGUGGCGAACGGGUGAGUAACGCGUGAGUAACCUGCCCUGGAGUGGGGGACAACAGUUGGAAACGACUGCUAAUACCGCAUAAGCCCACGAUCCGGCAUCGGAUUGAGGGAAAAGGAUUUAUUCGCUUCAGGAUGGACUCGCGUCUAAUUAGCUAGUUGGUGAGGUAACGGCCCACCAAGGCGACGAUUGGUAGCCGGACUGAGAGGUUGAACGGCCACAUUGGGACUGAGACACGGCCCAGACUCCUACGGGAGGCAGCAGUGGGGGAUAUUGCACAAUGGGGGAAACCCUGAUGCAGCGACGCCGCGUGGAGGAAGAAGGUUUUCGGAUUGUAAACUCCUGUCGUUAGGGACGAUAAUGACGGUACCUAACAAGAAAGCACCGGCUAACUACGUG
rnacentral:rRNA from 1 species